GACAGAGGUGCCGAGCGUUAGGCGGAAUCACUGGGCUUAAAGCGUGUGUAGGCGGAGUGCUAAGUACCUUGUGAAAUCCCACGGCUUAACCGUGGAACUGCUUGGUAUACUGGUUCUCUUGGGUCAUCUAGGGGCGAGCGGAACAAACGGUGGAGCGGUGAAAUGCGUAGAUAUCAUUUGGAACGCCAAUGGUGAAAACAGGUAGCUGGGGCUGUGCUGACACUGAGACACGAAAGCCAGGGGAGCAAACGGG
rnacentral:rRNA from 1 species